UCCCAAGCCUCAUCAGCUGGCCUCAAAAAGGCUGCCAGGUCCUGGUAGCUGCCUCAAGUGGCCUCAAAACAGAAAACCUGCAUGCCAAAAUCCCCCACUCCACUGCAGGAUGAAUCUGCCCAGAGCCCAUCGCCUUACUCCAUAAGAACGAUCACUGGCAGCACUUAUGUGAAAAGUAUUCUGUGUGCAUGGGCUGAUCUCUCAGGCUGACUUCUGGAAACCAUGCAGCAAUUUUGUACGGCUUUUAACUCUUAGUGAGAAUGAAACGAAGAGGAUCUAAUGAGCGAGGCUCUUUGCACACCUGGAACUGGAGGAGACAAUAUUGCCCUGGUUGAGCUGGGUACUACUGCACAGCAGGCAAGGUGGUGGAAAAGAAGCUGUGAGUGGGAUUCAGCUGCAGAUUGAAGACUCUGCUGAUUAAAUCUACACACAGAUGCUACCUGUGAAUAGUUUCAGACUCCUGAAAGGCCCGAAACUACGAGGCAUUCGUCUUUGAAGCCAGUCUAUAAUGGAAGGUGAUGUCGAGAAGUCAUUAUCUGUCACUCAGGAAAACUUCAUGACAGGCAGACUGCCUGGCUUCUGACAUGGCACUUGGCUGGAGCGGAUGGAAAAAUAGAAGCUUGCACAGAAAGCCUGAAAUACAUGGUCUGAUUUUUCAGAAUUGGGUAAUCGGUGCUUGUGCAAGAAGCUCCUUUGGUAACUGCUCCGGGGAAGAAAGGCUUGGUCGUGAGAUGUGCUGAGUGCCCUUGGUGUUCGUCAUGUUUAAGGAUGCUCAGCAGCUGGAGAGCGUGCUGUGGACAAGGCUUUAACCUCUCUGGUUCCAGUUUGAGGUACUCCACAUUUGAAAACCUAUCCUUUCAUAUGAGGGCGUCACAUGGAGAAAUUCAGUCGUGAUUUACAGAUUUGUUUCCUCACUGAAAACACAGAGUGGUGCCUGAUAGAAUUACACGAAAGCAUUAAGAUUUCUUGUUGUCAGCUCCAACCUUCCUCUUCUACCCCAUUGGAACAAAGAAGUAAAAAAAUCCCUCUGAAAGGCGGUUGCAUGAAUGGCCAUUGAUUAAAGUGCUUGGGUAAGUCUUCCAGAGGAGUGUGAAAUGUCCCCUCUGUGGCCUGAAAUGGGCUCGGUUACAAUGUUAUGGACAUGUUUAGUAAAUCUUGUCUUGAUUUAAAAAUCAUCACGUCUGCCGUUCCUGAAUGCCAACACUCUCAUUUUGCACUUUGAAACAUAAAUGACUGCACAUUAAUGCAGCAACCUCAUACUGCAAAGUGUAGAUGUUUCCAUCUUUAAUAACAUUAGAGAUAAAGACAAGUGAC